UACGUAGGUGGCAAGCGUUGUCCGGAUUUACUGGGCGUAAAGAGCGCGCAGGCGGUCGUUCAAGUCGCGUGUGAAAGCCCCCGGCUCAACUGGGGAGGGUCACGCGAUACUGAUCGACUCGAAGGCAGGAGAGGGUAGUGGAAUUCCCGGUGUAGUGGUGAAAUGCGUAGAUAUCGGGAGGAACACCAGUGGCGAAGGCGACUACCUGGCCUGUUCUUGACGAUGAGGCGCGAAAGCUAGGGGAGCAAACGGG
rnacentral:rRNA from 1 species